rnacentral:rRNA from 1 species
UACAGAGGGGGCAAGCGUUGUUCGGAAUUACUGGGCGUAAAGGGCGCGUAGGCGGCCCGUUAAGUCGAACGUGAAAUCCCCGAGCUCAACUCGGGAACUGCGUCCGAUACUGGCGGGCUUGAAUCCGGGAGAGGGAUGCGGAAUUCCAGGUGUAGCGGUGAAAUGCGUAGAUAUCUGGAGGAACACCGGUGGCGAAGGCGGCAUCCUGGACCGGCAUUGACGCUGAGGCGCGAAAGCUAGGGGAGCAAACGGG